rnacentral:lncRNA from 1 species
UCCGCGUACUCAUGUACAAGUCCCUCGGAGGACAAAGCCUUCAUGGCUAUAACCUCCAUGUUAAUCACGACAAAAAAAAAAGUAGCGACACGCUUUUCCGGUGCAUUUGCCGACAAUCUAGCGCUCCCAUAGGCUGCUCUGUAUCACGUGACCCCCUUUCCGCCAUUUUUGUGCAAAGAAAGCCGUGUGUGUAUAUGUCAGUGCAUUCUAUAUAGUCAACAAAGUGUAAUUAUUGCAAUUUUUUGUCAAUAUGACGGGCUGUUGUGCAGUUAAAUAUAAAGGGAAAUCAAAAGCGCGAUUGUUUACCAUUCCAUCGGGCAAAAGGAACGAAGAAAGAAGAAAAAUUGGCUUCAAAGAAUAGGGAGAAAAAAUUUUGUUGCGACGAGAUCGACAAGCCCCUCUGCAUGGUAAGCCAUUUUUAUGUGACAUCAUUAAAUAACCAAGUUACUGAUUAAUAAUUUCGAAAAUUAACAUAUUAAAAAAAAAAAAUAAAAAAUAUAAUUGAUCAAAGAUUGCAUGGAUAAACAGAUACAAUCCCCUAAUCAGAGUAAUUGAAUUUGUGUAUCCUUAAUAAAAAUUCUUUAUAAAACAUUUCCAUUUUAGCUAAAAAUACUUAAUUCAUUAAUUUUAACGCCCUGUAAAGACAAUUUUUGUU